AACAUAGCCUUAUGAUUUUAUAUAAGGUAUAAUCUGCCCAAUGAAUUUAUUUUAAUGGCCGCAGUACCCUGACUGUGCUAAGGUAGCAUAAUAAUUUGACUCUUAAUUAGGGCCUAGAAUGAAAGAGUGUAUGGGUAAUUCCUGUCUUAUAAUAGUUUUAUAAAAUUUACUUAAAAGGUGAAAAUUCCUUUAAUUAUACAAAAGACGAGAAGACCCUAGGAGUUUUAAAAUUUUGUUGGGGCGACAAUGUAGCAUAAAACCUACAUUUUUUAAAUUAUAUGAAACGAAUUAUUUUAAUUAAAAAUAAACUACCCUAGGGAUAACAGCAUAAUUUUAUUAAAGUUUGUGACCUCGAUGUUGGACUAGGAACUUUUAAGGUUAACAGCACUAAAUGUUAGUUCUGUUCGAACUUUAUUACCUACAUGAUCUGAGUUCAG
rnacentral:rRNA from 1 species